AUCUAAUCUAUUUUGUAUCUUAAUUUAUUUGCAAAACAAGUAUAAACAUUAGCAUUCAAGCAAUGUUUGCAUUUAAGUUUUUAACUUUAUUUUUCAUACAUGAUAUUUCUUUUUUUAUUUGAAAAAUUAUGAUGGAAUGAUAUGUCACUGCCUAUAACUGAAUCUGUGACCUCUCUCACAGUCUGCUUUGUGAAAGAUCCCAGC
rnacentral:lncRNA from 1 species